rnacentral:lncRNA from 1 species
AAUAGUGUUAAAGUCUCAUUUUAUGCAAUCUGAACAAGUUUUUUUGUGUCUUCGAAAAUGAAAUUCUUUUGAAUUUUGUAAUGUUUUUGAAAACUGAAUUUUUAAAAAUUAAUUUCAUUACGUUAUAGAAAUUAAUAAAACGGCCUUUCUCACAUUUUGCGGUGCAACACAAAAGUUUUAAUAUUAUAGUUUAGGAGUGGAAGUUUUUUUUCGUCUUUGUUUAAAUUUUUUCUAUGUUUUUGUACAUGCAUGUUAAAAGGUAGAUUUCGAUGUUGCUAUCUUAGACAUAAUAUUUAGCUACCACUUCAUUGUUUGUUCCUUUGUUGCAAAAUGUAAGUGUCCCCAUAAUAUUUCAUAGAAAAUAAUUUAUAUAGUAUACACGUUAUCAUUGGUUAUUUGUUCACCAUUGGGGACAUAGUUGUAAAAGGAAGCGUUUUUUUUUUAAUUUUGUAAAAUAAUUUUUUUAGUUUAAAAUGGAUUGUCUGAUUGGCGACUUCAUAAAUAAAGAAAAAGCUGGAAUAUAGUACUUGAUUAACAUAAGAAUACCAUCGAAGGUCGUUCCAAACGGCACAUCAAACGCUAAGCUGUGUAUACGGGUAUGAACAGUGAUGAAAUUAUGGUGUCGCAAGAUGUUGUAUUUAGCGACGAAAAUAAAUUUAUGUUAGACGCAGCUGAGAGUUUUUAACUUAAGAAAUAUCCCAUUACUGGAUAGGCCAGUAAAAAGGCCAGAUCUACACCCCAUCGAAGACCUCUGGGGAUAAUGAUAGUCGAAACAAUCAUUUCCUGAGCCUGUCGUUAGAAGACCCGCUUAUUGUAUUAUCGUUUCUGGAGCUGCUAUAUAUAUGUCUUGCCGGUCACGUCUUGCUGUUUUGAAUGAAAAGUUGUCCACGCUGGAACGACGAAUUGAUUAUCUGGAAGCAUGUGUAACUCAAGGAGAAACCCUUACAUGAGUUCAG